GACGAACGCUGGCGGCGUGCUUAACACAUGCAAGUCGAGCGGAAAGGCCCUUCGGGGUACUCGAGCGGCGAACGGGUGAGUAACACGUGAGUAAUCUGCCCUUGGCUUUGGGAUAACUACCGGAAACGGUGGCUAAUACCGGAUACGACAACCGUCUGCAUGGGCUGGUUGUGGAAAGUUUUUUCGGCCAGGGAUGUGCUCGCGGCCUAUCAGCUUGUUGGUGGGGUAAUGGCCUACCAAGGCUUCGACGGGUAGCCGGCCUGAGAGGGUGACCGGCCACACUGGGACUGAGACACGGCCCAGACUCCUACGGGAGGCAGCAGUGGGGAGUAUUGGACAAUGGGCGGAAGCCUGAUCCAGCAACGCCGCGUGAGGGAUGACGGCCGUCGGGUUGUAAACCUCUUUCAGUACCGACGAAGCGCCGAUGAUGGUGGUGACGGUAGGUACAGAAGAAGCACCGGCCAACUACGUG
rnacentral:rRNA from 1 species